rnacentral:rRNA from 1 species
GAUGAACGCUGGCGGCGUGCCUAAUACAUGCAAGUCGAGCGCACAGACGAGGAGCUUGCUCCUUUGACGUUAGCGGCGGACGGGUGAGUAACACGUGGGUAACCUACCUAUAAGACUGGGAUAACUUCGGGAAACCGGAGCUAAUACCGGAUAAUAUUUCGAACCGCAUGGUUCGAUAGUGAAAGAUGGCUCUGCUAUCACUUAUAGAUGGACCUGCGCCGUAUUAGCUAGUUGGUAAGGUAACGGCUUACCAAGGCAACGAUACGUAGCCGACCUGAGAGGGUGAUCGGCCACACUGGAACUGAGACACGGUCCAGACUCCUACGGGAGGCAGCAGUAGGGAAUCUCCCGCAAAGGGCGAAAGCCUGACGGAGCAACGCCGCGUGAGUGAUGCAGGUCUUCGGAUCGUAAAACUCUGUUAUUAGGGAAGAACAAACGUGUAAGUAACUGUGCACGUCUUGACGGUACCUAAUCAGAAAGCCACGGCUAACUACGUG